CAGAACAAAUUACCAAAUCCUGAAACACAACAGCAAAACACGGAACAAAUUACCAAAACACAGAACAAAUUACCAAAUCCUGAAACACAACAGCAAAACACGGAACAAAUCACCAAAUCCUGAAAUCACAACAACGAAAGCGGAGACACAUUUUUUUUUAUUGUAUUACUACAAUAAAAAUUACUACAAUAUUUAGCACGGCAAGGAUUCUGGGUCACUUUCGGUGUUUUGCACUUCCCGGCCACCCGGCCGAGGAGUGCAAAACACAACAGCAACAAGAGCUGCUAAUAAAGGUUGAUACAGGAAGUGACGUAACGAUAACGUCUAUGAUUCGUUGUUGAGCUCCACGCGGUUAGUUAGCGGCAAAAUCAGUCGGGUCCAGAACAGGUCACUAACUCGAGCCAGGUGAGGCUAAACAAUGUUUUGCCCUUUUUGUGGGGUCCAUUUUGGGGCAUUUGUAGCCUUUUGUGCAUCUUGUGGACGGUCUCUGGAGCUGUUACAAGGCACGGAGCAAGCCGGAAGAUCAGAUGUCCUGCAACACUGUAUCAAGUAUUUCAAUGAGGGUCACACGUACAGCGUUAUUUUGGACAUACUAUUGAGUUUGCAUUGUGUAAGGAUGAGUUUGAGGACUCUUAAAAGUAAACUUAACCAGUCUGGGCUGUAUCGAAGAAAGUAUUAGCUCAAGAACAGCUGUAAUUAAUGCAAUCAGAGCAGAACUUCGUGGGCCUGGCCAACUCUUCGGUUAUCGAACUAUGUGGCAGGUGCUAAAAUAAAAGCACCAACUCCAAGUGAAGAGAGAUACUGUAAUGGAGUUACUCCGGGUACUGAAUCCUCGAGGAUGCCAGAGCAGAGCUCGCAAACGAUUCAUCAGGAGAACCUAUCAUUCCCUGGGACCUAACUACAUGUGGCAUGCCGAUGGCUAUGACAAACUUAAACCAUUUGGUUUGGCCAUUUCAGGAUGCAUAGAUGGAUUUUCUCGUAAAGUUCUGUGGCUCAAAUGUAGAGCAACAAAUAAUAACCCAACAGUUAUCGCUCACAAUUUCCUAUCAUGUGUACGAAACCUCAGUGUAGUCCCCAUGAGGCUCAGAACUGAUUGUGGUACUGAAAGGGGCAUCAUGGUUGCUGUUCAGUAUACACUACGCCACCAACACAAUGACCACUACAGCGGAGAGUCCAGCCACAUGUUUGGUUCAUCUACCAGUAACCAGCGAAUUGAGUCCUGGUGGUCUAUCGAAAAGGAAGGGCUCAGUUUUGGGUGGAGCUAUUUGCUGAUCUGAGAGAUGCUGGCCACUUUAACGGGAGUCAGGAGCAUCAGAGGCUGUUGAGAUACAGCUUUGGUGAUGUUGUUCAAAAAGACCUAGAUGAGUGUGUGAAGCUAUGGAACACUCACCGAAUCCGUCCUUCGAAAACAGCUUCAUGUCCAGGAGUGCCCAAUGAGCUGUACUAUUUACCUCACAGGUAAUGUGUUGUUGGUUAUUAUUUGCUUAAAUGUAAAUAAAUACUGUUGUCUUCCAUUUUAUUCAGGCAUGGGUCCAGGGACUGUGGAUUCAUUAUUCAACAUGAUGAGCUGGAUGCUUUCCCCGAAUCCAGUCUGUCACUACCUUCAUGCGGGGACCCAAACACGCAGGAGUACCUCGACUUUGUUAUGGAGCACAAUCGUUUUCAAAAGCCAGAAAACUGGGAGUCAGCCUCAGAACUAUACAUGACGCUCAAAGAAAUUGCUCGGCUCUAAAUUAGGAUGAAAUAAAAUUACCACUGUAACUAAGUGCAUGUCUUUUGUUUUUGAUGGUUGAGCUGCUAAAAGUCUGCAUAUGAUUUUUCCAUAGUAUUUUUUGAUUUUGUAGUCUGUUCACCCAAAAGCGAUAGGGAUGUGUGACUAAAUGUUACAUUCUAAAAAAUAAACAAACCAUAAAAAUCUGAAA